rnacentral:rRNA from 1 species
UACGGAGGGUGCAAGCAUUAAUCGGAUUUAUUGGGCGUAAAGGGCGCGUAGGCGGGUAUACAAGUCAGAUGUGAAAUCCCGGAGCUCAACUCCGGAAUAGCAUUUGAAACUGUAUGUCUAGAGGGUAGGCGGAGAAAAUAGAAUUCCACAAGUAGCGGUGAAAUGCGUAGAUAUGUGGAAGAAUACCGGUGGCGAAGGCGAUUUUCUAGCUCAUACCUGACGCUGAGGCGCGAAAGCAAGGGGAUCAAACAGG